rnacentral:lncRNA from 1 species
AUGCCUGUGUGACAUGACCUCAACUUACAAAGUCUUUUUGUCCCACUAGGUUUUCUCAUAUGGAACAGUUUUUUAUUCAACACUCUACUGUAAUAUAAUGCAGAAAGGAGUUACUGGCAAAAUUCCUUUGAUGUGCAUUGUAUACAGCUCAUCUUUGGAUACCACUUCAAGCACUAUCCAUAACAAUCUUAUAAAAUUCCGAAAUGAUCCUCCCUGUAAGAAUUCUCAUUCUGCCUGGAACUUAACCAACACUUGUCUAUUUGGAUUGCCUUGGAUUCCGUAUUUUCAAGACUCCUUGGUAGAGGCAUCUCAUCAGUCACUUCUGCUUAGUAUGCCUCAUCCAUUAGUCCACGAGAGCGCAAAUGUAGCUAUAUUCUAGGUUCUUGCAUCACAAUCCUGAUAACUCUGUUGCCAUAUCUUCCUUAAAAUUUCAUUUUUGAACCACUCACUACAGAUUUCAUCACUUUUUGGUGCCACUUCCUGAGAGGACAUUGGAUUGUGUAGUGCCCAUUGCUUCAUAUGUUUUUUAAAAGUGUUCCUUUUAAACAAAGGCCAUGAUGCCCUUGCAUAGUCUCUUAUAAUAAGAUGUCUAUGUAUCAUUUUUAGAUGUGGAGUUGAUCUUACAAAUAAAAUGUGUU